rnacentral:rRNA from 1 species
UGGGGAAUUUUGGACAAUGGGCGAAAGCCUGAUCCAGCAAUGCCGCGUGCAGGAUGAAGGCCUUCGGGUUGUAAACUGCUUUUGUACGGAACGAAAAAGCUUCUCCUAAUACGAGAGGCCCAUGACGGUACCGUAAGAAUAAGCACCGGCUAACUACGUGCCAGCAGCCGCGGUAAUACGUAGGGUGCGAGCGUUAAUCGGAAUUACUGGGCGUAAAGCGUGCGCAGGCGGUUAUGUAAGACAGAUGUGAAAUCCCCGGGCUCAACCUGGGAACUGCAUUUGUGACUGCAUGGCUAGAGUACGGUAGAGGGGGAUGGAAUUCCGCGUGUAGCAGUGAAAUGCGUAGAUAUGCGGAGGAACACCGAUGGCGAAGGCAAUCCCCUGGACCUGUACUGACGCUCAUGCACGAAAGCGUGGGGAGCAAACAGGAUUAGAUACCCUGGUAGUCCACGCCCUAAACGAUGUCAACUGGUUGUUGGGAAUUAGUUUUUCUCAGUAACGAAGCUAACGCGUGAAGUUGACCGCCUGGGGAGU